GGGCCGCAGUCACCAAGCGAUCCUGGGGCCCGGGGCCGCGCGUCCGCCGCCCUUUCCUCCUUUGCGUUUGCAUUUCUGAGCUCGGGCGGGCCCUUUCUCGCGGACCCCCGGAGGCACACUUUUGGAGGCAUCUCUGCGCCUCUACACCGGCUUUGUGAGGCAGGUUCUUCUACGGUCUCCACUUUUCCAGCCAAGGAAACAGGCCAGGAUGACUAAGCGAUCUGCCCACGGGCAGAGAACAUAAUUUUGGAUUUCAAGUGGAGCCCGUAUAAAUCUUUCCACGAUGCUGCAAAAUGCAUCUCUGUACUCCUCUAGAACUCUCAUUGUAUCUGGUCUAUCGUUAUCUCAGACUGGAUGCAUCACAUUCAUUGGACAAUUUGUCCAGAUAAGAAUUUACACGCCGAGGUGCUGUUUUGUGUUGAACCAUUAAUAUAGUAUAGCAUGAAGAGUUGUUUUCCAGUCUUAUACUUUUCAUUGACUUCUAUCAAUAACCCAAAGGAGCAUAUGCCAAGUUGGGGUUGCACCAUGUGCUCCUGGAGACAGGAACAAAGUGA